rnacentral:rRNA from 1 species
GCAAGUCGAACGGUAACAGGCGGAGCUUGCUCUGCGCUGACGAGUGGCGGACGGGUGAGUAAUGCUUAGGAAUCUGCCCAGUAGCGGGGGACAACAAUCGGAAACGGUUGCUAAUACCGCAUACGCCCUACGGGGGAAAGCAGGGGAUCUUCGGACCUCGCGCUAUCGGAUGAGCCUGCGUUGGAUUAGCUAGUUGGUGGGGUAAAGGCUCACCAAGGCGACGAUCCAUAGCUGGUCUGAGAGGAUGAUC